CACAACACAUGGGAAUUAUGGGAGCUACUAUUCAAGAUGAGAUUUGGGUGGGACACAUAGCCAAACCCAUAUCAGUCUCCCUUCUCUCUGCCAUACUUCAGGCUCACAUCCCCACUCCUACCCAAGUCCAAGCUAAAGACUGUCGAGAAACACAAUGUUUAAUGGUUGGAAACCAAUUCACUAUGGAAGACUGAUUGCAAAUGUUGCCCCAGUUUUCCAGACUCCUAAUUGUGACUUUGCAGCUACACUCUUCAACUUUUUUGUAGCUACUUCCCCUCUCCUUGCAUCUGGGCUGCCCUUGUGACUUAUUUUGACAAAAAGGGUCAGUGAAACUGACACUGUCAUAGUACAGAGCCUAGGCCUCAAGUAUCCUUGCUUGCCUUCUCUCUUUCUUAGAAGCCUGGUACUGCCAUGAACAUAAACCCAGCUGACCUGCUUGCAGAUGAGAGACUGUAAAGAAAAAGGCUGACUCAGUCCAGUCGUCCAAGCCUAGGCCCCAGACAUGUGAGAAAGCCCAGCAGAAUCAAUAAACCUGCCUUGUAUGUGACUUGUGAGCCAGAAUGCAACUCUCCUCUCCACCCAAAGACUCAUGAGCUAAGUUUGCUUAUUGGCUGGGGCUCUGCU
rnacentral:lncRNA from 1 species